rnacentral:lncRNA from 1 species
UCAGUUUUUCCUUUUAAAUCUGUGUCUUCUUCUGCUUCUCCUCCUGCUUCCUCUUUUCCCUUAUUCCAUCUGGAGAACAUGAUGAUGCCUCUGAUUCUCCCAUUCCUCUUUCUCCUCCCUCUUCUCCAUCUGGUCCUACUCCUUCCAGUCCUGCUGGUCCACCUUCUGUUUUAGUUCCUUCUUCCUCUGUUCCUGCUCCAAGAAAGUCUCAAAGACAACAUAAUCCUCCUUCCUAUCUUCAGGAUUAUGUCUGUCAACUUCCUGCCUUCUCUGGCUCAUCUUCCUCCUCUUUGGAAUCUGAGCCUCUAUGCUAUUCUUAGGCUGCAUCUGUUCCAGCUUGGCAAGCUGCCAUGAGACAGGUGUUUGAAGCUUUGGACACUAACCAUACUUUGGAUGUUGUCCCUCUUCCUCCUGGUGAGAAACCCAUUGGUUUUAAAUGGGUUUAUGAAGCUUUGGACAACUAACCAUACUUGGGAUGUUGUUCCUCUUCCUCCUGGUAAGAAACCAAUUGGUUGCAAAUGGGUUUACAAGAUUAAAUACAAGGCUGAUGGCAGUGUUGAAAGGUAUAAAGCCAGGCUGGUUAUUAGGGGUGACACACAGGUUGAGGGGAUUGAUUUUACUGAAACUUUCUCUCCAGUGAUUAAAAUGAC